GCAAACCUAAAUGAGUUUGUAUCUUCUGUUCAACAUAAAAGAUAUUUUGAAGAAUGUGGGUUGCUGGUCCCCAUUGACUUCCACAGUGUUUUAUUCCAUUUUUAUUAUUAAGUCAAUGGGAACCAAAAAUUGUUUGGUUACCCACAUUCCUUAAAAAAUAUCCUCUUUUGUGUUUCGAACAACCUCGAUGACAGAAUUUCAAUAUUUGGAUGAACUAAUAUGGCAGAGAGUAGUAUGCUACUACACUCUUAAAAAUAAAGGUGCUUCAUGAUGCCAUUUAAGAACCAUUUUUGUCUAAAUGGUUCCAUAAAGAAACUUUAACAUCUGAAGAACCUUUCUGGUAAAAGAAGGUUCUUUAUGGUGAGAGAAGGUUCUUCAGGUUAUAAAAAGGUAAGAAAGAGAUGGUUCUUUAAAAACCUUUGACUGAAUGGUUCUUUGUGGAACCAAAAAUGGUUCUUCCAUGGCAUCGCUGUGAAGAACCUUUUAAACACCUUUAUUUGUGUGUAUGCUAUUUCCAAGUUUUCGCCAACAAAGAUAUCAUUGGUCAGGUGGUAUAUUAAGAGUGCCAAGCCACUGAAAUUGCAUAUACAAUGUGUAUGUGUGUGUUUUCUUGUUGUUGUUGUUGUUGUUGUUGUUUUUUUUUCUUAUUUUGUCAUAUUUAUCUGUAUUUAUGGCUGUUGAUGAUACAGCGGCAGCAAGAUGUUUUAAGCAUACUUAAAAGUCUAUGAAAGUCAUUGGAUUAAACUAAAGAUCAAUUAUCAAACCAAGUGGCAUUUCUUUAAACAAAUGACCAGUUCAAGCAAAGCAUUUCACAAAAAAAUAACAUUGCAAAUUCUAGAACAAUAGCAUACUCUUUCUACAUAUAAUUUUUAAUGAAGACUAUGGCCCUGUCCACACGAACACAGGUAUUUUCAAAACCGCAGCUUUUUCUAUGUGGUUUGGCCAUUCGUCUUGACACCAGCUAGUUAAACGUCAAUUCACAAAUUGCUCAGAAAAGUGAAAGUAAUUCUGAGAAAAUCUCUAGCUUCCUUUGUAUGCAGAUGCCACUGGUUUGAAAUGUUAAUUAAUGUAGAGGGUUAAAGACUGUAGAGGGUUAAUGAUCUGUUUAUAACUGCAACAAUAAUUCAACUAAAAUUAUUAGGUUUACAUCAUAUGAUGCCUAUGAGGUCAUUAGUUGGACAAUCGUGGACAUUUGAAUGAUUAGAAAUGUCAUGAACAGUAUUAAAAGAAAAUUCUAUGUAUAUACAUGUUUAUAUAUAUCUUCUCCACAGACCUCUAUCUGGAAACUAAUGACAUUGUAUCUACUUAUGAGAUUGUAAAGACCCAAGUCACUUUUUAUCGUCCUAAGAUCUCCUUUCAAAUAAAGUUACUCAUUUUUUGCAGGUCUGACUGUAUAUUAUAGGUAUAUCUGACAAAAAGCUUAUUCAGUGUAAGGCAAUUGUUGGAAUAAACAGCUAUAUACU
ensembl:lncRNA